AGUGAACGCUGGCGGUAGGCCUAACACAUGCAAGUCGAACGGAAGCACAGUAAGAGCUUGCUCUUACGGGUGGCGAGUGGCGGACGGGUGAGGAAUACAUCGGAAUCUACUUUUUCGUGGGGGAUAACGUAGGGACACUUACGCUAAUACCGCAUACGACCUACGGGUGAAAGCAGGGGAUCUUCGGACCUUGCGCGAUUGAUUGAGCCGAUGUCGGAUUAGCUAGUUGGCGGGGUAAAGGCCCACCAAGGCGACGAUCCGUAGCUGGUCUGAGCGGAUGAUCAGCCACACUGGAACUGAGACACGGUCCAGACUCCUACGGGAGGCAGCAGUGGGGAAUAUUGGACAAUGGGCGCAAGCCUGAUCCAGCCAUACCGCGUGGGUGAAGAAGGCCUUCGGGUUGUAAAGCCCUUUUGUUGGGAAAGAAAAGCAGCAGGUUAAUACCCCGCUGUUUUGACGGUACCCAAAGAAUAAGCACCGGCUAACUUCGUG
rnacentral:rRNA from 1 species